UAACCUGCCUCUUAGCGGGGGAUAACUAUUGGAAACGAUAGCUAAUACCGCAUAAAAGUCGACAUUGCAUGAUGUUGACUUGAAAGGUGGCAACUGCAUCACUAAGAGAUGGACCUGCGUUGUAUUAGCUAGUUGGUGAGGUAACGGCUCACCAAGGCGACGAUACAUAGCCGACCUGAGAGGGUGAUCGGCCACACUGGGACUGAGACACGGCCCAG
rnacentral:rRNA from 1 species